AUGCAGCCCAGCAGAGAGGCCCUGGAACUCAGAGGACUCCCAAAGUCCGUGAGCACAGUGUCCUCAACAAAACCCCCCCUCACCACACCUUCCUCAACAAACCCCUCACGCCAACUGGCUCUGGAGGACUGUGUCCAAUUGCGAGCUGCCUUGGAUUUAGGUUAUGGUCCUGAAUGCUGCUGCCACCACCUCCCUGAAGUGGCUCACAAGUCCUCAGCCUCCGCCGGAGCCCCAAGUGCCAGACUCCCCCUUCAGCCGCACAGCCUGGGCACUCGGACCAAGCUGCCACCUUCCCUGUGCUUGCCGGGGCCAGGUAGGACACGUCUCACAACAGAGCCUUUUCCGGGGGCGCCCUUCUGCAGUGAUUCUUGCAGUCCUGCACUCUGCUGUGUUCUGCUCACACCAGGCAGGGGGAGAGGGAGCGUGGCCCCUCUGGGAAGCUCCCAGGACGGCAGGGGUGGGUGCUGCCCUACAGAUACAGUACCUGCUGCACAGGGAAUGGACGCCUCCUGGACGGUGGCCCCAGCCCAGGAAUGGCUGGGACACCCACUCCAGUCUUGCCCACAGUCUGCUUCCAGAGGACACUUGCCCCUGCCUCUCCCCACCCCCACCACGCCCUGCAUCUCGCAGCCACCUGGAAGGAGAUGUAGACCCCACUGUGGUAAGGAGCUGUUCAGAGCCCCCGGAGCCCUCCACUUCCUACCACGCAGACAUCCUGCUGCUGUGCGACACAGAUGGACCAGGGCUUGUCCUGAAGGUCCCAGGAUGCACAUUCCUCAGGGAUGGCUACUCUCCUCCCCCUCCCUGUUAACAGACUGGUUUUCCAUGGACUCCUUUAAGCCCCCAAGUCUGGCCUCUGGUCAAAUUUCAAAGACAUGAUGGGGUGGUCUGUUAAGACUGAGUAGCUCAUGUGGCACCAGGUGAGGGCUGCUCAGGCCUGCAUUAAGGAGGGGAGCCCGAACAACGGGCCUCCCCCUUCCCCCCACCCACAACGAAGCAGCUGCUGCUGGCUCCUCUCCCAGAGACUGGAAGAGAAUUGAUGAGAACACCGGGGACCCAGCAGUUCCACUCCCAGGCCUAAAUCUAAGAGGGCAAAGUCAAGCCUCCACUCAAAACCUUGUGUGUGCACACACUCCCGGCAGCAGGAUUCACAACAGCCACGGAGUGGAAGCAGAGCCAGCUGUCCAGUGGAGGAUGAACACACAGCGGGGAAGACAUGGGCCGUGCAACCGCGGCUGCCACAGAGAAAGCGCAGGAGCAGUGCAUGCUGCGUGAGAAGCUGGGCACCAGGCAGAAAGCAGAGUCCGGGAGCUGGGGGAGGAGGGGACAGCAAGUGCCUGCUCAAUGGCCCUGAGGUUUAAGGUGAUGGAGCUGAUCUAGAUAGAAUUGGGGGUGAUGGCUGUAUAACUGGGAAUACACUAAAAUCCCUGACUUGUACACUGUGGCCACCUGAAGUGAACAGUACACGCUUUCUGUCUCAGUAAAGCUACGCAAAGAACAGCAGA